rnacentral:rRNA from 1 species
AAUUAACGCUGGCGGCAUGCCUAACACAUGCAAGUCGCACGAGAAAGCCCGGUUCGCCGGGCGAGUAAAGUGGCGCACGGGUGAGUAACGCGUGGAUAAUCUACCUCUUUCUGGGGGAUAACGUACCGAAAGGUGCGCUAAUACCGCAUAUUCCGGCGAAUCCUUGGGUUUGUCGGUAAAGGUGGCCUCUUCAUGAAAGCUACCGGGAAGAGAUGAGUCCGCGUCCCAUUAGCUUGUUGGUAGGGUAACGGCCUACCAAGGCGACGAUGGGUAGCUGGUCUGAGAGGACGAUCAGCCACACUGGAACUGGAACACGGUCCAGACUCCUACGGGAGGCAG